rnacentral:rRNA from 1 species
AUUGAACGCUGGCGGCAUGCCUUACACAUGCAAGUCGAACGGCAGCACGGGAGCAAUCCUGGUGGCGAGUGGCGAACGGGUGAGUAAUAUAUCGGAACGUGCCCAGUCGUGGGGAUAACGUAGCGAAAGCUACGCUAAUACCGCAUACGAUCUAUGGAUGAAAGCGGGGGAUCGCAAGACCUCGCGCGAUUGGAGCGGCCGAUAUCAGAUUAGGUAGUUGGUGAGGUAAAGGCUCACCAAGCCGACGAUCUGUAGCUGGUCUGAGAGGACGACCAGCCACACUGGGACUGAGACACGGCCCAGACUCCUACGGGAGGCAGCAGUGGGGAAUUUUGGACAAUGGGCGCAAGCCUGAUCCAGCAAUGCCGCGUGCAGGAUGAAGGCCUCGGGUUGUAAC